AUUGAACGCUGGCGGCAGGCCUAACACAUGCAAGUCGAACGGUAACAGAAAGCAGCUUGCUGCUUUGCUGACGAGUGGCGGACGGGUGAGUAAUGUCUGGGAAACUGCCUGAUGGAGGGGGAUAACUACUGGAAACGGUAGCUAAUACCGCAUAACGUCGCAAGACCAAAGAGGGGGACCUUCGGGCCUCUUGCCAUCGGAUGUGCCCAGAUGGGAUUAGCUAGUAGGUGGGGUAACGGCUCACCUAGGCGACGAUCCCUAGCUGGUCUGAGAGGAUGACCAGCCACACUGGAACUGAGACACGGUCCAGACUCCUACGGGAGGCAGCAGUGGGGAAUAUUGCACAAUGGGCGCAAGCCUGAUGCAGCCAUGCCGCGUGUAUGAAGAAGGCCUUCGGGUUGUAAAGUACUUUCAGCGGGGAGGAAGGGAGUAAAGUUAAUACCUUUGCUCAUUGACGUUACCCGCAGAAGAAGCACUGGCUAACUCCGUG
rnacentral:rRNA from 1 species